UACGUAGGGUGCAAGCGUUGUCCGGAAUUAUUGGGCGUAAAGAGCUCGUAGGCGGUUUGUUGCGUCGGCUGUGAAAUCCCGAGGCUCAACCCUGGGAUGCCGGUGGAUACUGUCGGGCUCGAGUCCGGAAGAGGCGAGUGGAAUUCCUGGUGUAGCGGUGAAAUGCGCAGAUAUCAGGAGGAACACCGGUGGCGAAGGCGGUUCUCUGGGCAUUACCUGACGCUGAGGAGCGAAAGUGUGGGGAGCGAACAGG
rnacentral:rRNA from 1 species